GUCCCUGAUCCAGAACUGUUAAAAUUGCUCUGAGUGGCCCUUGUGUGGCUAAGCCCCAGUCAUGUAGGACAGCCAUGGGUAAAAGCCUGGGCUUGGACUGCCAGCCCCCGAGUGACCUUUCUUACUCUCCACUCUCCUGGGACAGGGACUCUGGGCUCCUGCAUCCUUAGAACCUUAUGGGGACCAAGGAAGGAGGUGAGAAGUGAAGCCUGGGGCAGGUGAUAUCACUAGAUUUUAAGGGCAGUGUCUGAUGGCCAUGGCAGGUGCUGUCUGGCUCAAGACUGUGUGAGUCUGUAGCAGAGAGAGGAAGCCUGCUGGCCUGAGAUUUAGGAUUGGGGUCCAUACCUCGGCUUUGGAGCUGAGGGAUGAAGCUCUUAAGUUGAUGGGCUCUGCGCUGAGACCACCACAGGCCUACAGGCUUAUCUGCUGCGUGCUGACCUGGGCUCUGACCUGCCUCGGAUGCCAGCUCUCAGGAAGUGACCAACCAUUUCUGGGUCACACUGUGGGCAGGCAUGUCUGUCACCCCUGUGUGACUACAGAAAAGGUUAUGGGAUGCCUUGUAGUUGCUAUUCUCACCUGCUCCAUGGGACAGUGAGGGCCCCCACCUUGCUGAGUCCCUGUGGCUGGUCACACACUUCACGCCUGCGAGCUAGGCUCUUCCAGUAUGGGCAUCUAGAGGGACUCCCGGGCAGUGUGAGGAUCCCGUCCCUGCCCUGUCUUCCCCCAUGAUGACCAGCAAGGUUGGCCUUGGCCUCUCUGUGGCCUUGGUGGGUCACAGCGCUGGCACAAGAGGGCUCAUGCUACCGCCGGCAACCAUCCACUGUAGUUUCUCUGUUAAAGCCUGGCUGCCUUCUCCACCUGUUGACACUGUGCGGGCUGCCAAGCCUACUGACUGUAGAUAAUCCAAAUAUUUAUCCAGGAGCCCCAUGGCCAAACGAUGCUCUAAUUGCUUCAUGAUGAGGGACCCAGUGCACUCAGUGAUGCUGAACAGUCUUCAAAUGGCCUGCACCUGUGAAGUGCAGCGCUGGCUCUGGGGACGGGCCAGCCUCCCAGGUGCCAGCCCACUUCUCACAGCCUCUGAAGGACACACACGCCCCAGGCUUCAGCAGUGCUGACAGAAGUCUAGUGGAGUGAGGGAAGGUUCUGGAAGGCUUCAUGGUCGAGGCCGUGGAUGGAGGGGACGUUCUGUGUCUCACCCCACAAGAGGGGCUGUCAUACAGCCCUGGGAAGGAGGAAGUGGGCCUUCCGGGGUGCUAGUGGAUUACAGGACCUCACGGUCAAAGGCAUACUGGUGUCCAAAUGGGCCUGGAGGUCAGGGGUCAGUGUGGUAUUGUGGAUCGGCGGAUAUCUCUGUUCCAUGGGCGCUAUGAACUUAAGACCUUCAGAUCAUCUCUGUUUAGGAGAGUGACCCAAGGGGCAGAGGGCAGAGGGCAGGGGGAGCUGAGGUGACAGGCAGGCCUUUGGGGUGGAAUGCCCUGUGGAUGCCAGCCAUAGCAGUUCCUGGAGCUACUAAAGGCAAGGGGUAAAGGCUCAGAGGUCAAGGCUGUGGGCCUGACUGGCACUGCUGGGUCGCUGCCUCAUCCGUCCUGGGGUCAGUCUCCUUAAGGUGCUUAGGGCUCAACAGGUCAACAAGGUCAAACACUGAAAGCCCCCAGGUAAAAAGACUGCCAGCCUAGGGAGGAGGUGGUUUGUAAUCCUAGCUUCCUGACAGGAGCAGUCAGGCUUCGACAGGCAUCUUGGGAAAAGCUGGUCUCUACACUUUCGGUACCAACUCCUGAGUGGCAGAGACCCAUGUGCCAGGUUCACGUACACCAGCUGACUCUGGCAAGCUCACAUCACUGUCCUCGUCUGGGAAAGGGGUUUGUUUUAUCACUUGGGAUUGAUCUACCCAGUGCAGGUGCUUGGUGAUAGGGAGGCCUUGGAGGGCCCGCAUGAUGCUAACCCCAAUGCACCAGCCACUCUAAAUCAGUCUUUAAAUGUCGAGCAAUGGCCAUUACCCUUUUCAGAGCCCCAUGUCCUGCCCUCCCUGAUACCCACUGCUUGGGUGAGUUGAGCCAGGAUGGCUGGACUGCGCAGCAAUCUGUCCACCUGCUGCCUGCAUUUCUUUUGCGGCUGCUUCCUGGAGGAGCCCACAGCAGUCAGUUAGGAACAGGUACAGAUGAGGAUGGAGGCUGGUGGCAUCAGUGUGAAGUAGGAUUUAGGGUCAUCCCUGGACAGGGUGGCAGUAUCCACCUAGGACGAGGUGCUGGGGCCAGACCUCUUUUUAUCCAUUUGUCUGGCACCCUCUGCUGGCCAGUGGGGGAAGUGUGAACUCUGCUCUAGUCCAGCCUAGCUUGGGCUGCAGUCCUGUGGGUAAUACAUCCCCAACCCACUUACUCCCUUUCCCUAUUUACCAGUCAGGCAGCCUGGACUAGAGUUGGAGACACACCCACUGGGGCAUUUUACAGGGCUUUGUAUGCUUCCUGGCACAUAGGACCGUUUCUCUUAUCCAAGGGAGGAAACUGAGGCUCAGAGCAGGCUAAGGGAUGAAUCAAGUGUCAGUUAAAAGGACCAUGUCCAAUGCUGACUUUCCUAGAUCCCGAGCUCUAUUCGGGCAGAGCCCCCAUGCCUGUUCUGGAACCUGUUGGUGAAACAGGAGCAGAUCAGCCUGUGAGGCCGUGGGGAUCAUCCAUGCCAGGUAGCCCGAGGGAAAUGGACUCGGUAGACAGGCUGUCAGUGGAAGAUUCUGGGCAUAAGGACGACCUCAAGGCCCCUACUGGGCUUGUAUGAUGACCAAUGGCUGAGCAGGAUUGAGCCCUCUUUUCGCAGCUUCUCUGAUUGUUGGGAGGAGUCUUUAGGGUCCAUGUCUUGCAGAGUGAGUAGCUCUGUUUUCAGGCUGAUCCCCAGGAACCAGGGUACAGCCGUCUAGUGCUGUGGAUCCCCAGGAACCAGGGUACAGCCGUCUAGUGCUGUGGAUCCCUAGGUGUCAGGGUACAGCCGUCUAGAGCUCUGAUUGUAGAACACUCCCUCCCCACUUGCUCCUGGAGCACCUCUUGGAGUUUUCUUAUUGCCCAGGGCAGAAGCCCUCACCUUGCUCAGGACCAGCAGGAAGACCAGCAGGAAGAAGGGAAGCUGGAGGGAGGCUGGGCCAAGUACUCUAGCAGUCAGUUUUCUGAGGCCCCUCCUGGCCCAGACUGAUCUUUCUUCUACUCUUACCUUUGAACAUGUGGCCAGUGGCCAAUUCACCACCCAGGGGGCAAGAACUGGGCCAAGGGCAAGGACUGGGAGCAGGAGUUGGGGGGAAUGGGUGGGCUUUGAACUUGGACAGGUAGGUUUGAGCCCGGCCCUUCUUCAACUGGCUGAAUAAAUGUGAAUCUUUGUCUGGCUCUCUUGAGAUGGCGAUGCCUCAUCUGAAGAACAGCAUGUGUGGUCUCCUCCCAUUGCCCGCCUCCACAUACAGGGUCUUCUCCCUCCACAUACAGGGUCUCCCCCCCACAUACAGGGUCUUCUCUCCCCACAUACAAGGUCUCC